rnacentral:rRNA from 1 species
GACGAACGCUGGCGGCGUGCUUAACACAUGCAAGUCGAACGGUAAGGCCCUUCGGGGUACAUGAGUGGCGAACGGGUGAGUAACACGUGGGUGAUCUACCCUGCACUUCGGGAUAAGCCUGGGAAACUGGGUCUAAUACCGGAUAGGACUCCGGACUGCAUGGUCUGGGGUGGAAAGCUUUUGCGGUGUGGGAUGGGCCCGCGGCCUAUCAGCUUGUUGGUGGGGUGAUGGCCUACCAAGGCGACGACGGGUAGCCGGCCUGAGAGGGUGACCGGCCACACUGGGACUGAGAUACGGCCCAGACUCCUACGGGAGGCAGCAGUGGGGAAUAUUGCACAAUGGGCGCAAGCCUGAUGCAGCGACGCCGCGUGAGGGAUGACGGCCUUCGGGUUGUAAACCUCUUUCAGCAUCGACGAAGCGAAAGUGACGGUAGGUGCAGAAGAAGGACCGGCCAACUACGUGCCAGCCGCCGCGGUAA